GAUGAACGCUGGCGGCGUGCCUAAUACAUGCCAGUCGAGCGAACAGACGAGGAGCUUGCUCCUCUGACGUUAGCGGCGGACGGGUGAGUACACGUGGAUAACCUACCUAUAAGACUGGGAUAACUUCGGGAAACCGGAGCUAAUACCGGAUAAUAUAUUGAACCGCAUGGUUCAAUAGUGAAAGACGGUUUUGCUGUCACUUAUAGAUGGAUCCGCGCCGCAUUAGCUAGUUGGUAAGGUAACGGCUUACCAAGGCAACGAUGCGUAGCCGACCUGAGAGGGUGAUCGGCCACACUGGAACUGAGACACGGUCCAGACUCCUACGGGAGGCAGCAGUAGGGAAUCUUCCGCAAUGGGCGAAAGCCUGACGGAGCAACGCCGCGUGAGUGAUGAAGGUCUUCGGAUCGUAAAACUCUGUUAUUAGGGAAGAACAAAUGUGUAAGUAACUAUGCACGUCUUGACGGUACCUAAUCAGAAAGCCACGGCUAACUACGUG
rnacentral:rRNA from 1 species